AAAUCUGAUAUAGUUUGUACAUGAAACAAUGUAAUAACGGACGACCUUUGCAAGUUGCUACACAGAGGUAACUGAUGUAUCAAACAUGCGUGUUUCAGAGUAUGUUACCAGUUGCGUUAUUUUUUUCACAGUUGUUUUAUAAGCGUCCUUUGUUGGACAUAUCAUAUUUACCUUUUCAGACUCCACAUUAGUGAUUGAGUGCUCUGUCAUGCUGUAAUAUUUCAGUUGUCACGUGCAACACUGAUCAGAAUUUGUACACAAAACCAGUUCAGUAGUUUGCAAUCCUGAUUCAUAUUUGUUUGCCUUUCUAUUAUUAGUCAGCCAAGCCAGUACUAUUUUCUGUUUUGCACACGAAGUAUGUAACAGCUGCUUGAAUUUUAUUUAGCCACAAUACUGCACUAGACUUGAGGUAGGCAUCACAUGUGGAUUUUGUGCUGCAAAUACUUACAGUUAGGAACUUUGGACCUUUAACUGAACACCUAAAGCCUGAGAGUUUUUUUUUCCUCUUUAUACACAUGCACAUUUUAGGGAAAAAUGUGAGGUACCCAAGACUUUCCAGGCAGGGUCAUGAGCCAACUGACACUGAACAGGAACAAAGGAAAAGUGGGAACUGUACCAUGUUUAAGGGAGUGCUGAAGAAAGGGCGAGAGGGAGGAGGUAGAACUGGCAAAAGAGACGCAGGUAAGCGGUUUUAUUCCCAGAAGAAAGGAAAAUGAUUUUAAUAAACUGUUGCUGAAACCUUUUGAACUGUACUUU
ensembl:lncRNA